UACAGAGGUGGCAAGCGUUAUUCGGAAUUAUUGGGCGUAAAGGGUGCGUAGGCUGUUAUAUAAGUUAGAAGUGAAAUUCCAGGGCUUAACUUUGGAGCUGCUUUUAAUACUGUAUAGCUGGAGGUGAAAAGAGGACAACGGAAUUCCUAGUGUAGAGGUGAAAUUCGUAGAUAUUAGGAGGAACACCGGUGGCGAAGGCGGUUGUCUGGGUUCAUACUGACGCUGAGGCACGAAAGUGUGGGGAGCAAACAGG
rnacentral:rRNA from 1 species